GCCGUCUUAGCUCAGUCGGUAGAGCGCAUCCAUGGUAAGGAUGAGGUCGUCGGUUCGAAUCCGAUAGACGGCU
rnacentral:tRNA from 60 species